rnacentral:rRNA from 1 species
CCUACGGGAGGCAGCAGUGGGGAAUAUUGCGCAAUGGGCGAAAGCCUGACGCAGCGACGCCGCGUGAGGGAUGAAGGUCUUCGGAUCGUAAACCUCUGUCAGCAGGGAAGAACGGUCACUGUGCUAAUCAGCAGUGAAUUGACGGUACCUGCAAAGGAAGCACCGGCUAACUCCGUGCCAGCAGCCGCGGUAAUACGGAGGGUGCGAGCGUUAAUCGGAAUUACUGGGCGUAAAGCGCUCGUAGGCGGUAUGGCAAGUCAAGGGUGAAAUCCCCGCGCUCAACGUGGGAACUGCCUUUGAAACUGGGAAACUGGAGUGUGUGAGAGGAUAGUGGAAUUCCAGGUGUAGGAGUGAAAUGCGUAGAUAUCUGGAGGAACAUCAGUGGCGAAGGCGACUAUCUGGCACAUAACUGACGCUGAGGAGCGAAAGCGUGGGUAGCAAACAGGAUUAGAUACCCUUGUAGUC